rnacentral:rRNA from 1 species
GAUGAACGCUAGCGGCAGGCUUAAUACAUGCAAGUCGUGGGGCAGCAUGAGUGUAGCAAUACAUUUGAUGGCGACCGGCAAACGGGUGCGGAACACGUACACAACCUUCCUUUAAGUGGGGAAUAGCCCAGAGAAAUUUGGAUUAAUACCCCGUAACAUAUAGAAGUGGCAUCACUUUUAUAUUAUAGCAGCAAUGCGCUUGAAGAUGGGUGUGCGGCUGAUUAGAUAGUUGGCGGGGUAACGGCCCACCAAGUCGACGAUCAGUAACUGGUGUGAGAGCACGACCAGUCACACGGGCACUGAGACACGGGCCCGACUCCUACGGGAGGCAGCAGUAAGGAAUAUUGGUCAAUGGACGCAAGUCUGAACCAGCCAUGCCGCGUGGAGGAUGAAGGUCCUCUGGAUUGUAAACUUCUUUUAUCUGGGAAGAAAUCUACCUUUUCUUGGGUAGUUGACGGUACCAGAUGAAUAAGCACCGGCUAACUCCGUGCCAGCCGCCGCCGUAAUAC